CACACAAACCAAUUUUUACAUUUAUGGAGGUGUUUAUUUGAAUACUUUUACCUAGCUACCCCUAGUAAAGUCAAACUAAACCACUAUUUGUAUUGCAUAGAAAAUAUAAGGUGCAUUAAUGAGGGGUAGAAUUGAAAUUCACCUACCAAAUAGUUCACGAAAACAAGAAAAAAUCACUUAUUUUGGGACAACAACCAAAUUCUAAAAAGGCUGUUAAAAUGGGACGGAGGGAGUAAUAGAUUUGAGAUAGUGGAGAAAGGUAGUGGGUGUAAUAGUGUAUAUUUAAUAAUAAGAGAGCAUAAAAUAUUGAGUUAGUGGGUGUAAUAAUGAAAAGUAGUGUUCAAAAAUAGUAAGUAUUCUAGGUUCAUUCUUUUUGGGAUGUCCCAAAAAAGAAAUGAGGUCACAUAAAAUGGGACGGAGGGAGUAUCUGACAGUGUGUAUCAAGCUUCAAGAACCACAAGUAUUCAUAAAAGCUCUGCUUAGGUCUUGCAAGUAUCCACUUUAAAUAAUGAAAUCCUCCAUGUUCUGCCAUUUUUUAUUCACAGGGAAAAAUAUAUUUUUUGAAACUUGUUGAUCUUGCUUAGCUGGGUUCUGAGGUAUAAAGGAUUUUGGUUGGUAAUCUAUACUUGAAGCUCACCUGGUCUUAAAGUUAUCACGGGGCCAAGUACCCCCACUGCCCCGAGCUGCCUCCGUCCCUGCCUGUGGCAAGAGCAUCAGGUUACUCGCUUGUAUUAGCUAUCAAAAUUGGCGACGGUCCUGCAGCUGAAUAUUUUUAACCUUGCCAAGCAAUUUUCCCAACAAGUAGCCCUCUGUUUUAGUUGGCAGAUGGUAUUGAUUAUUUCUAGUGGUCAUGUCAUUCGAGUGAUAGCUGCGCAUAGAGCUGUAAACGAACCGAACCCGGACGAACUCGGACGAACUCUUACCGAACUCGAAUAAAAUCUUAACGAACCGAACAAUGUUCGAUAAUUUUAUCGAACAAAUUUUUCUGUCCGAACUCGAGUUCGGUAACGAAACGAACCGAACCGAACACGAACUAUUCGCGAACAUGUCGAACCAAACCGAACACGGACCGAAAACGAACAGUUCGCGAACAAUGUAGAUUUUUAAAUAAUAUUUAAGCUGUUUUUAAAUUAAUUUAAUGAAAAAAAUUAUAAUAUUAUAUAUAUUUUUAUUUA